UAAUACAGAGGGUGCGAGCGUUGUCCGGAAUCACUGGGCGUAAAGGGCGCGUAGGUGGUAACCUAAGCGUGCGGUGAAAGCCCGAGGCUCAACCUCGGGUCGGCCGUGCGAACUGGGUCACUCGAGCAGAAUAGAGGCAGGUGGAAUUCCGGGUGUAGCGGUGGAAUGCGUAGAGAUCCGGAAGAACACCGGUGGCGAAGGCGGCCUGCUGGGUUCUGGCUGACACUGAGGCGCGACAGCGUGGGGAGCAAACAGGAUUAGAUACCCUGGUAGUCCACGCCGU
rnacentral:rRNA from 1 species